rnacentral:tRNA from 1 species
GUUACUUUGGCAGAAUAGUGCAUUGGAUUUAGAAACCAAAUAAGUAGUUUACAAGUAACA